ACAUUGGUGGUUGAGUGGGAGAAUUCUCACCUUCCACGCAGGAGACCUGGGUUCGAUUCCCUGUCAAUGCA
rnacentral:tRNA from 1 species